UACGUAGGCAGCAAGCGUUGUUCGGAGUUACUGGGCGUAAAGGGUGUGUAGGCGGUUAUUUAAGUUUGGUGUGAAAUCUCCCGGCUCAACCGGGAGGGUGCGCCGAAUACUGAAUGACUUGGAGUGCGGGAGAGGAAAGUGGAAUUCCUGGUGUAGCGGUGAAAUGCGUAGAUAUCAGGAGGAACACCGGUGGCGAAAGCGGCUCACUGGACCGUUACUGACGCUGAGGUGCGAAAGCUAGGGGAGCAAACGGG
rnacentral:rRNA from 1 species